rnacentral:rRNA from 1 species
GACGAACCGUGCGAACGUUAUUCGGAAUCACUGGGCUUAAAGGGAGCGUAGGCGGGCUAUCAAGUCUGGGGUGAAAUCCCACGGCUCAACCGUGGAACUGCCUCAGAUACUGAUGGCCUCGAGGGAGAUAGGGGCAUGCGGAACUGUAGGUGGAGCGGUGAAAUGCGUUGAUAUCUACAGGAACUCCGGUGGCGAAAGCGGCGUGCUGGAUCUCUUCUGACGCUGAGGCUCGAAAGCUAGGGGAGCAAACAGG